UCCAAAAACAACUCUACCAAUAAUCUAGCAAAUGGCAAAGUGAUGUAUAAAAGACUAAGAUAUUGCAUGCAAUCGGCAGUAUGCAUGGUAGGCACGUAAAUGAUAGUGACUACCAUAUGUUUAACACCUGCAACUUUAAAAUGUCUAAAAUGCCCUGAUUUAUAUUAUAAAUAUCAAUUUUCAUUAAGCAAAGAAAACAUCACUUCUAUUAUUAUCUUUGAGCCAAAUUAAUUAAGUUAAGAUGAUUUCUCUUAAGCAAGUUUUUCUCUUCAUUGUUCUCUUUGUUGCAGUUUCAGUUGGGGUCCUAAAGUAAUGGCUUUAAGAGAGUUACCCAUUGAUGUUGCAAAGAUGAAAAGAAAAUUACUUGCAAAUGGCUUGAUUACUUGUGGGAGAAGUUGUGGGGAUACUAGCGAUUGCAGUGAUGGUUGGUCAUGUACCACAUGUAACCUUUUAUAUGUUUGUGUAUGAAAAAUAAAUAUGUAACCUAGUUUUAUAGUAGGUUACUGAUGAAGGAUAUAUAUCGAAACCAUCUUUGGAGUAAGUUAACUAAUGAUGUGUCUUUUUAAAUUUGUGCAAGAAAAAUAAAUGUGUAACCGUUCAAGUUUGUGUAAGAAAGAUAAAUAUCUAACGUUUCAAAUUUAUGUAAGAAAAUUAAAUAUGUAAUAUACUUUUCUAAUA